AGCUCCGGUCCCAGCCCCGGCCGUCCCGGCGUCGCUUCGGAGCGCGGCGGCAGCUGACUGCGCCUUCACGAUCCGCUGGGACCCGCGAGCCCCGCCGCCGUUAUGAACAUCCGCAAUGCGAGGCCAGAGGACCUAAUGAACAUGCAGCACUGCAACCUCCUCUGCCUGCCCGAGAACUACCAGAUGAAAUACUACUUCUACCAUGGCCUUUCCUGGCCCCAGGUGGGCAGCUUCUGAAUUUGGGCAUGGGGGAAAGCAGGCCGAGGAAAAUCCCAUCUGGCCAUCUUGGAGGGAGUGGACAAGUCUGUCAGAGCCCAGGGGGCUGUAUGGUCGGUGGCGUCCUGGGUGUUUUCAGCUGGCAGACAGGGGCAAAGGAAAAGAAGGCGCCCGAAGGGAGCAGAGAAUAGGGGCAGGAUCCCCACUUUGCGUCUUCUUUCUGGGUAUGGGCAGGGCACAGUGUGGCGAGGGGGAGACCAAGCCACUCAGCCCGGAGGUCAUGAGCCAUCACACAACUCGCCACUCGUCCAGUUUGUGUCCCUCUAAAGGGCUCUUCUAGCUCCGACAAGAAG
rnacentral:lncRNA from 1 species